rnacentral:rRNA from 1 species
UACGAAGGGGGGCGAGCGUUGUUCGGAUUUACUGGGCGUAAAGGGCGCGCAGGCGGCGCAUUUUGUCAGGCGUGAAAGCCCCGGGCUUAACCUGGGAACUGCGUUUGAUACGGAUGGGCUAGAGUUCGGGAGAGGAGAGUGGAAUUCCCAGUGUAGAGGUGAAAUUCGUAGAUAUUCGGAAGAACACCAGUGGCGAAGGCGGCUCACUGGACUGGUAUUGACGCUGAGGUGCGAAAGCGUGGGGAGCAAACAGG